ACGCAUUAGGGAUAGCAGCGGCAUCCUUUUUUUUUGCGCUUCGACAAACUCAGCAUGACAAACAAAAAAGAUAAAGCGCAUAGCCCGACCACGC
rnacentral:sRNA from 2 species